rnacentral:sRNA from 3 species
GUUUGCACUUGUCGGGGAAGGGUGAGAACCUUCGAUUAAGGUUCGACUCGAGCGAAAGCGAGAGAACGUUGCCAACGGCAACGGCCC